CAUCAGCCUUUGACCUGAUAGAGGGAGAACACCUAUGGUGUAAAUUGGAAAAAACAAACAUUGACAAGAGACGUCUAUGGCUCAUACAGCAACUACAUAAAAAUAUGAGUGGCCCAGUAUUUCAAGGAAUGGAGGGACAGAAAAGAGUGCAUUCAACAAACUCUACAACAGUCAGUUUUGUUUAAGUUUACACCCUUCAAUUGCCAUAUUCCAGUCAUGGAAUUCACCAGAGCAAGUGAACAAGAGGAGGAAGAAGAGCAACAGCAACAAUGAGGAAUCCCGCCGCCACCACUUUGUCAUCCCAAUCUCAUGCUGGAACUGGUCUGUUUCAAGAGAAUUGAUGAAUAUCCGUAUUCUAAUCUCAUCAUGCUGAGAUAGCCAGAUCUGAGAAAAAUUUCAGUGUCAGCACAAUUUUUUUUCACAUCUAUAGUAUUUAUCCCCCUUCACAUGUGUAAGUCAAAUGUCUUCAGUGUAGACUUUGCUCUAUCCAUGGACAAUCUCAACAGGGCUUGGUACCUUCAUUUUGAAGGUUCCUAUCCUUCACUGUCUGUGGUCAUGCUUAAGAAGCCCUUCUUCACAGCACAUAUGCAACUUCCACAUGCGAAAGGUGAUGAAGAAGUGGUGCAGGUGAAAAGAGAUUAAUCCUGCCCAUCCACACUCCCUCUUCUUAUGUACAAAGGUUAACUGCCAGCAAAAGGCUUAUAUACUCUUCUGUUAUAUACAUUUCGUACAGACUUACAUAGGACCAGUGCUGUGUAAAUGUGAAUUUUCUUUUUAUUUUGAAGAUAGAAUAAGUGCUUAAAUGUUUUACUCUAAAUUGUUUGGAAAUACAGGUGGAGCAAAUUUCUAGCUCCACUAAUGUAUGGCACUAAAGCCAGGUUCUGUCUUUAAAUGUAGCUAGUCUAACAUCUACACACCAUAUAGGCUUACUGAGUGCUUAACUUAAGAUGUGCUUUUUUCUCUAAUGAAAAUAUAUGGUGUUUCAUCUUUACUCUCUGAGAUCUGAGAAGGUGGUUAUGUAAGCUAGUCAUUUUUAAAUGCCACCAAAUACCAACUAGCUUAGCUGAGAAAUGUUUUUUUGCAGACUGGGAAGGAAACAAUCAUAUUACAGUAUUAUGCUUUGUGGGCCUAAAUAAUUUUCUCCCCUCAACUGAGACCUUAAAUCCCCAAAACAGCAGAA